UUAGGGUUACAUUUUUUUUUAAACCAGAGGUUAGGGUUAGGGUUACACUUUUUUAAACCAGAGGUUAGGGUUAGGGUUAGGGUUACACUUUUUUAAACCAGAGGUUAGGGUUAGGGUUACACUUUUUUAAACCAGAGGUUAGGGUUAGGGUUAGGGUUAGAUUUUUUUUAAACCAGAGGUAAGGGUUAGGGUUAGGGUUACAUUUUUUUUAAACCAGAGGUUAGGGUUAGGGUUAGAUUUUUUUUAAACCAGAGGUUAGGGUUAGGGUUACAUUUUUUUAAACCAGAGGUAAGGGUUAGGGUUAGGGUUACACUUUUUUAAACCAGAGGUUAGGGUUAGGGUUACUUUUUUUUUCUUUUUAAACCAGAGGUUAGGGUUAGGGUUAGGGUUACAUUUUUUUUAAACCAGAGGUUAGGGUUAGGGUUAGAUUUUUUUUAAACCAGAGGUUAGGGUUAGGGGUUACUUUUUUUUUUCUUUUUAAACCAGAGGUUAGGGUUAGGGUUAGGGUUACAUUUUUUUUUAAACCAGAGGUUAGGGUUAGGGUUAGGGUUACAUUUUUUUUUAAACCAGAGGUUAGGGUUAGGGUUACCAUAGUAUAUUCUAAAAAUGUCAAAGAUUGUCAUAAAGGUAAGGUGUCAAAAACUGUCAACUAUGCCAACUAUUCUCUUUUUCUCUUUUCAAACUAAAUACAUAAAUGUGGCUAAAAGUUCUAAUCUGUGGCUAAAAGCUCUUA